rnacentral:ncRNA from 1 species
CGCUCCGGUCCCACCUGCGGUCCCUAUGCACUACCCACGAGGGAUAAAGCACCCCGCCAAGCCCCACCCCUCCCUCCCGCCGGGCAAACUCACUCCGGCGAGUGAAUAUGCCCAACUGGGCUGGAUUCGGGACCGGUUGCCUGCCGUACGCUCAGCGCCAGCAGCACGAGACGACCCCCAGACAUGCGACGGCCCUCGCCGGGACUGGCAUCCCGAUGCGAGGGCCUGACCACCGAGGAAGAAACGGCUUCCCG